GGGAAUCUUGGGCAAUGGGCGAAAGCCUGACCCAGCGACGCCGCGUGGAGGAAGAAGUCCUUCGGGGCGUAAACUCCUGGACUGGGGGACGAGGAAGGACGGUACCCCAGUAGAAAGGGACGGCUAACUACGUGCCAGCAGCCGCGGUAAAACGUAGGUCCCGAGCGUUGUUCGGAUUCACUGGGUGUAAAGGGCGCGUAGGUGGUUGUCUGUGUCUCA
rnacentral:rRNA from 1 species